GUGGGCGUGCGGGCGAUACGGGCAGACUUGAGUACUGCAGGGGAGACUGGAAUUCCUGGUGUAGCGGUGGAAUGCGCAGAUAUCAGGAGGAACACCGGUGGCGAAGGCGGGUCUCUGGGCAGUAACUGACGCUGAGGAGCGAAAGCGUGGGGAGCGAACAGGAUUAGAUACCCUGGUAGUCCACGCCGUAAACGGUGGGUACUAGGUGUGGGUUUCCUUCCUUGGGAUCCGUGCCGUAGCUAACGCAUUAAGUACCCCGCCUGGGGAGUACGGCCGCAAGGCUAAAACUCAAAGAAAUUGACGGGGGCCCGCACAAGCGGCGGAGCAUGUGGAUUAAUUCGAUGCAACGCGAAGAACCUUACCUGGGUUUGACAUGCACAGGACGCCAGUAGAGAUAUUGGUUCCCUUGUGGCCUGUGUGCAGGUGGUGCAUGGCUGUCGUCAGCUCGUGUCGUGAGAUGUUGGGUUAAGUCCCGCAACGAGCGCAACCCUUGUCCUAUGUUGCCAGCGGGUUAUGCCGGGGACUCGUAGGAGACUGCCGGGGUCAACUCGGAGGAAGGUGGGGAUGACGUCAAGUCAUCAUGCCCCUUAUGUCCAGGGCUUCACACAUGCUACAAUGGCCGGUACAAAGGGCUGCGAUGCCGUGAGGUGGAGCGAAUCCUUUCAAAGCCGGUCUCAGUUCGGAUCG
rnacentral:rRNA from 1 species